rnacentral:rRNA from 1 species
UUCCAGACUCCUACGGGAGGCAGCAGUGGGGAAUAUUGGACAAUGGGCGCAAGCCUGAUCCAGCCAUACCGCGUGGGUGAAGAAGGCCUUCGGGUUGUAAAGCCCUUUUGUUGGGAAAGAAAUCCAGCCGGCUAAUACCUGGUUGGGAUGACGGUACCCAAAGAAUAAGCACCGGCUAACUUCGUGCCAGCAGCCGCGGUAAUACGAAGGGUGCAAGCGUUACUCGGAAUUACUGGGCGUAAAGCGUGCGUAGGUGGUCGUUUAAGUCUGUUGUGAAAGCCCUGGGCUCAACCUGGGAACUGCAGUGGAAACUGGACGACUAGAGUGUGGUAGAGGGUAGCGGAAUUCCUGGUGUAGCAGUGAAAUGCGUAGAGAUCAGGAGGAACAUCCAUGGCGAAGGCAGCUACCUGGACCAACACUGACACUGAGGCACGAAAGCGUGGGGAGCAAACAGGAUUAGAUACCCUGGUAGUCCACGCCCUAAACGAUGCGAACUGGAUGUUGGGUGCAAUUUGGCACGCAGUAUCGAAGCUAACGCGUUAAGUUCGCCGCCUGGGGAGUACGGUCGCAAGACUGAAACUCAAAGGAAUUGACGGGGGCCCGCACAAG